CACGUAGGGGGCGAGCGUUGUCCGGAAUUACUGGGCGUAAAGCGCGCGUAGGCGGACCUGCAAGUCGGGGGUGAAAGCCCGAGGCUCAACCUCGGAACUGCCUUCGAUACUGCGGGUCUCGAGUCCGGGAGAGGUGAGUGGAAUUCCUAGUGUAGAGGUGAAAUUCGUAGAUAUUAGGAAGAACACCAGUGGCGAAGGCGGCUCAGCUGGCCCGGUACUGACGCUGAGACGCGGAAAGCGUGGGGGGCGAAACAGG
rnacentral:rRNA from 1 species